rnacentral:rRNA from 1 species
GCACAAGCGGUGGAUGAUGUGGUUUAAUUCGAUGCAACGCGAAAACCUUACCCACCUUUGACAUGUACGGAACCUUUAGAGAUAGAGGGGUGCUCGAAAGAGAGCCGUAACACAGGUGCUGCAUGGCUGUCGUCAGCUCGUGUCGUGAGAUGUUGGGUUAAGUCCCGCAACGAGCGCAACCCUUGUCAUUAGUUGCUACAUUCAGUUGGGCACUCUAAUGAGACUGCCGGUGACAAGCCGGAGGAAGGUGGGGAUGACGUCAAGUCCUCAUGGCCCUUAUAGGUGGGGCUACACACGUCAUACAAUGGCUGGUACAAAGGGUUGCCAACCCGCGAGGGGGAGCCAAUCCCAUAAAGCCAGUCGUAGUCCGGAUCGUAGUCUGCAACUCGACUACGUGAAGUCGGAAUCGCUAGUAAUCGUGGAUCAGCAUGCCACGGUGAAUACGUUCCCGGGCCUU